CAUAGCGACUAUCGUGGCAUAUCAAUAAGCGGAGGAAAAGAAACUAACAAGGAUUCCCUUAGUAACGGCGAGUGAAGCGGGAAGAGCUCAAAUUUGAAAUCUUCAAGGUUCUACCUUGACGAAUUGUAGUUUAUAGAAGUGUUUUCUGUUAGUGGAGUUUGGUAAAAGUUCUUUGGAAUAGGACAUCAUAGAGGGUGAGAAUCCCGUAUUUGGUCAUUCCUUCUAGCGUUGUGAUACACUUUCAACGAGUCGGAUUGUUUGGGAAUGCAGUCCAAAAUGGGUGGUAAAUUUCAUCUAAAGCUAAAUAUUGGCGAGAGACCGAUAGCGAACAAGUAGCCGUGAGGGAAAGAUGAAAAGAACUUUGAAAAGAGAGUUAAACAGUACGUGAAAUUGUCAAAAGGGAAGCGUUUGACACCAGUGUUGUUUUUCCGAAAAUCAAUUACGAAUGUUUUAUUUUUGAGGAGUUAUGACUUCAUCGGCUUGCUUCUCUCUUUACGAAACUUUCUUAAUGCACUUUUCGGUUAACAAGUCAACAUCAAUUUCUUUUGUUGUAAAAGGGUAUGAGGAAGGUGGCUUUCUUUUCGGAGAAAGUGUUUAUAGCCUUGUAGCCUCUGCAAUCGGAGAGAUUGAGGUCUGCAGCGUAGAUCCUUCGGGGUUAGAUACAGUUUGUGCUAAGUUAUAGCUUUUCAUAGACAACUUGUUGACUAUGUUAGUCUUGUAGCUUACUCGCUGAUGCUAUUUUACCUACGCUUAGGAUGUUGACGAGACUGUCGAUCUC
rnacentral:rRNA from 1 species